rnacentral:rRNA from 1 species
GGAAUAUUGCACAAUGGGCGCAAGCCUGAUGCAGCCAUGCCGCGUGUGUGAAGAAGGCCCUAGGGUUGUAAAGCACUUUAAGCAGGGAGGAAGGUUAUACGGUUAAUACCCGUGUAAAUUGACGUUACCUGCAGAAUAAGCACCGGCUAACUCCGUGCCAGCCGCCGCGGUAAUACGGAGGGUGCAAGCGUUAAUCGGAAUUACUGGGCGUAAAGCGCGCGUAGGUGGUUAGUUAAGCGAGAUGUGAAAGCCCCGGGCUUAACCUGGGAAUUGCAUUUCGAACUGGCUGACUAGAGUGUAGAAGAGGGGUGUGGAAUUUCCGGUGUAGCGGUGAAAUGCGUAGAGAUCGGAAGGAACAUCAGUGGCGAAGGCGACACCCUGGUCUAACACUGACGCUGAGGUGCGAAAGCGUGGGUAGCAAAC